UGAAUAUGGGGGGACCAUCCUCCAAGGCUAAAUACUCCUGACUGACCGAUAGUGAACCAGUACCGUGAGGGAAAGGCGAAAAGAACCCCUGUGAGGGGAGUGAAAUAGAACCUGAAACCGUGUACGUACAAGCAGUAGGAGCACCUUCGUGGUGUGACUGCGUACCUUUUGUAUAAUGGGUCAGCGACUUAUAUUCAGUGGCAAGGUUAACCGUAUAGGGGAGCCGUAGCGAAAGCGAGUCUUAACUGGGCGCUCAGUCUCUGGAUAUAGACCCGAAACCGGGUGAUCUAGCCAUGGGCAGGUUGAAGGUUGAGUAACAUCAACUGGAGGACCGAACCGACUAAUGUUGAAAAAUUAGCGGAUGACUUGUGGCUAGGGGUGAAAGGCCAAUCAAACUCGGAGAUAGCUGGUUCUCCCCGAAAGCUAUUUAGGUAGCGCCUCGGACGAAUACUACUGGGGGUAGAGCACUGUUAAGGCUAGGGGGUCAUCCCGACUUACCAACCCUUUGCAAACUCCGAAUACCAGUAAGUACUAUCCGGGAGACACACGGCGGGUGCUAACGUCCGUCGUGGAGAGGGAAACAACCCAGACCGCCAGCUAAGGUCCCAAAGUAUUGCUAAGUGGGAAACGAUGUGGGAAGGCUCAGACAGCUAGGAUGUUGGCUUAGAAGCAGCCAUCAUUUAAAGAAAGCGUAAUAGCUCACUAGUCGAGUCGGCCUGCGCGGAAGAUGUAACGGGGCUAAGCAAUACACCGAAGCUGCGGCAAUAUCUUUUAGAUAUUGGGUAGGGGAGCGUUCUGUAAGCCGUUGAAGGUGAAUCGUAAGGUUUGCUGGAGGUAUCAGAAGUGCGAAUGCUGACAUGAGUAACGACAAAGGGGGUGAAAAACCUCCUCGCCGGAAGACCAAGGGUUCCUGUCCAACGUUAAUCGGGGCAGGGUGAGUCGACCCCUAAGGUGAGGCCGAAAGGCGUAAUCGAUGGGAAACGGGUUAAUAUUCCCGUACUUCUGACUAUUGCGAUGGGGGGACGGAGAAGGCUAGGUGGGCCAGGCGACGGUUGUCCUGGUUCAAGUGCGUAGGCUUGAGAGUUAGGUAAAUCCGGCUCUCUCUAAGGCUGAGACACGACGUCGAGCUGCUACGGCAGUGAAGUCAUUGAUGCCAUGCUUCCAGGAAAAGCCUCUAAGCUUCAGAUAGUCAGGAAUCGUACCCCAAACCGACACAGGUGGUCGGGUAGAGAAUACCAAGGCGCUUGAGAGAACUCGGGUGAAGGAACUAGGCAAAAUGGUACCGUAACUUCGGGAGAAGGUACGCUCUUGAUGGUGAAGUCCCUCGCGGAUGGAGCUGACGAGAGUCGCAGAUACCAGGUGGCUGCAACUGUUUAUUAAAAACACAGCACUGUGCAAAAUCGCAAGAUGACGUAUACGGUGUGACGCCUGCCCGGUGCCGGAAGGUUAAUUGAUGGGGUUAGCGCAAGCGAAGCUCUUGAUCGAAGCCCCGGUAAACGGCGGCCGUAACUAUAACGGUCCUAAGGUAGCGAAAUUCCUUGUCGGGUAAGUUCCGACCUGCACGAAUGGCGUAAUGAUGGCCACGCUGUCUCCACCCGAGACUCAGUGAAAUUGAAAUCGCUGUGAAGAUGCAGUGUACCCGCGGCUAGACGGAAAGACCCCGUGAACCUUUACUACAGCUUGGCACUGAACAUUGAACCUACAUGUGUAGGAUAGGUGGGAGGCUAUGAAGACGUGACGCCAGUUGCGUUGGAGCCGUCCUUGAAAUACCACCCUUGUAUGUUUGAUGUUCUAACUUAGACCCAUUAUCUGGGUUGAGGACAGUGCCUGGUGGGUAGUUUGACUGGGGCGGUCUCCUCCCAAAGAGUAACGGAGGAGCACGAAGGUGGGCUAAUCACGGUUGGACAUCGUGAGGUUAGUGCAAUGGCAUAAGCCCGCUUAACUGCGAGAAUGACGGUUCGAGCAGGUGCGAAAGCAGGUCAUAGUGAUCCGGUGGUUCUGUAUGGAAGGGCCAUCGCUCAACGGAUAAAAGGUACUCCGGGGAUAACAGGCUGAUACCGCCCAAGAGUUCAUAUCGACGGCGGUGUUUGGCACCUCGAUGUCGGCUCAUCACAUCCUGGGGCUGAAGUCGGUCCCAAGGGUAUGGCUGUUCGCCAUUUAAAGUGGUACGCGAGCUGGGUUUAGAACGUCGUGAGACAGUUCGGUCCCUAUCUGCCGUGGGCGUUGGAAGAUUGAAGGGGGCUGCUCCUAGUACGAGAGGACCGGAGUGGACGAACCUCUGGUGUUCGGGUUGUGUCGCCAGACGCAUUGCCCGGUAGCUAAGUUCGGAAUUGAUAAGCGCUGAAAGCAUCUAAGCGCGAAGCGAGCCCUGAGAUGAGUCUUCCCUGACAGUUUAACUGUUCUAAAGGGUUGUUCGAGACUAGAACGUUGAUAGGCAGGGUGUGUAAGCGUUGUGAGGCGUUGAGCUAACCUGUACUAAUUGCCCGUGAGGCUUAACCAUACAACACCCA
rnacentral:rRNA from 1 species